GAUGAAGAACGCAGCGAAAUGCGAUAAGUAGUGUGAAUUGCAGAAUUCAGUGAAUCAUCGAAUCUAUGAACGCACAUUGCGCCCCUUGGUAUCCCGAGGGGCAUGCCUGUUCGAGCGUCAUUUCACCACUCAAGCCUGGCUUGGUGUUGGGCGACGUCCCCUUUGGGGACGCGCCUCGAAACGCUCGGCGGCGUGGCACCGGCUUUAAGCGUAGCAGAAUCUUUCGCUUUGGAAGUCGGGGCCCCGUCUGCCGGAAGACCUACUCGCAAGGUUGACCUCGGAUCAGGCAGGGAUACCCGCUGAACUUAAGCAUAUCAAUAAGCGGAGG
rnacentral:misc_RNA from 1 species